rnacentral:tRNA from 1 species
CUCUGUGUGGUGUAGUGGUUUGAGCAUUGAACUAUGACUCUGGAGACCAGGGUUCGAUUCCCCACUUGGCCA